rnacentral:rRNA from 1 species
UACGAAGGGGGCUAGCGUUGUUCGGAAUUACUGGGCGUAAAGCGCACGUAGGCGGCUUUGUAAGUUAGAGGUGAAAGCCCGGGGCUCAACCCCGGAAUUGCCUUUAAGACUGCAUCGCUUGAAUCCGGGAGAGGUGAGUGGAAUUCCGAGUGUAGAGGUGAAAUUCGUAGAUAUUCGGAAGAACACCAGUGGCGAAGGCGGCUCACUGGACCGGUAUUGACGCUGAGGUGCGAAAGCGUGGGGAGCAAACAGG